rnacentral:misc_RNA from 1 species
AGUGUUUGUACCUUGGAAUUGAAGAUCGUAGACAAAAUGUUGGUGCAACAGUGUAGGGGCGGAUGUUGUAUUAUUCCUGGAGGAUUUGGUGAGAGAGAUGUGGAGGGUAAAAUUCUUGCUGCCAAAUAUGUCCGUGAAAACAGGAUUCCUUACUUGGGCAUAUGUCUAGGCAUGCAAAUUGCAGUUAUCGAGUAUGCUAGAUCCAUUCUUGGGUUGCAAGA